rnacentral:pre_miRNA from 1 species
CAGUAAGGAAAAUUUGUCUUUAAGUAGGGAUAAAUUACCCUAGAAGGAAUGAGCCCUAGACAGUUUUCCCUUCAAGUCAAGCAUCUUGU